rnacentral:misc_RNA from 1 species
GAUGAAGAACGUAGCGAAAUGCGAUAAGUAAUGUGAAUUGCAGAAUUCAGUGAAUCAUCGAAUCUUUGAACGCACAUUGCGCCCGCCAGUAUUCUGGCGGGCAUGCCUGUUCGAGCGUCAUUUCAACCAUCAAGCCCCCGGCUUGUGUUGGGGACCUGCGGCUGCCGCAGGCCCUGAAAACCAGUGGCGGGCUCGCUAGUCACUCCGAGCGUAGUAAUACAUCUCGCUCAGGGCGUGCUGCGGGUUCCGGCCGUUAAAAAGCCUUAUUUACCCAAGGUUGACCUCGGAUCAGGUAGGAAGACCCGCUGAACUUAAGCGUAUCAAUAAGCGGAGGA